AUUGAACGCUGGCGGCAUGCUUUACACAUGCAAGUCGAACGGGGUGAGGGGGCAACCUCUCAUCUAGUGGCGAACGGGUGAGUAAUGCAUCGGAACGUGUCCCGUAGUGGGGGAUAACCCGGCGAAAGCCGGACUAAUACCGCAUAUGCUCUACGGAGGAAAGUGGGGGACCAGUAAUGGCCUCACGCUAUGGGAGCGGCCGAUGUCCGAUUAGCUUGUUGGUGAGGAAUGGCUCACCAAGGCGACGAUCGGUAGCUGGUCUGAGAGGAUGAUCAGCCACACUGGGACUGAGACACGGCCCAGACUCCUACGGGAGGCAGCAGUGGGGAAUUUUGGACAAUGGGGGCAACCCUGAUCCAGCCAUGCCGCGUGCGGGAAGAAGGCCUGG
rnacentral:rRNA from 1 species